rnacentral:lncRNA from 1 species
GGUGCCUCGCCCUCCAUGCCAGCGACGAGUGGUGGAAACUGCAAUUUUGGUUAGGGUUAGGCACUGCCGAAUCUGAAAUCGAACAAAUCCAAAGAACCCUAGAGAGAAAAUUCGACAAAUCCGACCAGGCACAACGACUCUUGUUGUGAGGGCAUAGGAAGGCACUGGAAUUGGAACCCUAAUACCACGCGUCCACGCCUAAAAUCCGAGCACUUGAAUGAACUCGUAAUCAUAGCUUACUAGCCUACAAGGGGAAGUCGGAUGCUUACCGGGACCGGGUCGCUCUUCUGGAGCGUAGAGAGCACGCCGUCUUCCGCCGCGGCACCCCUGAUGGCUCCAGUACGCGGCAGCCGCCACCGGCGUCGCACGCGGAGGAUGUGCAGUCGGCUCGCAGCGAGUCGCCGCUCUCUGAGCUCUGAACAAGACGAAAAGAGCAGCGAUGAGAUGAGACAGAGAUCUGAA